CUCCUUCGAGUCGGACAGCCAGUGACUAGGGUGGGGACCAGUCGGUAGGCCUGUCCCCCGUUUGCCCCCGGCCCGUCCGCCUCCUACUUUGUCGGCCCGUUCCCGGAGCUUGGAGUCUCGGCUCGGUGUGAGCUUCCUCGACAGUCCUGGACCCAGCACCCCUGAGCCUUGGCCGGCUGGGGUUCCUGGGGAUGGGAUUUGAUUACUGCCACAAAUCACAUUGCCAGGGAUUUCCAACUGACCACUGGCCCUGCUGCUGGAGCUGCUAGGUCCACUCCUAGCGUGUGCGCGUGGGUGCAUAUUUGUGGGGCGAUGGAGCCCAAAGGAGUGGGCCCCCCGGCCCAGCCUGGCCUGAGGAGCAGGACUUAGCUGCCUUGUGAACAGAGUCAGCAUUCUAUUGUGUUCACAGUGGCUAAGUUCCGCCCCCCUUGCCCCCCUACCCUUGGCCACCUUGCUCUUCAUCCAGUCUGUCUCACUGGGCUCUGCCUCCUGUGCCUACUGAGCUGAAACACAGUUGCUUUGGAUAAACUGGCUCAGUUCAGCAGGAACAGGAGUCUGGCCCUCUCCUAGAGACUGCCCUAUGAGCUGAGAGCGUGGGAGGCUGGAAGGGCCCCCAGGGCCCUUGGUGAGAUGGAGGGGCUGCCUCCAACUACUGCCAGCGGUGCUGACUUUCUAGCUUUAUGUCUCCAGUGUCCAAAGGGAUCUGAGGACUGCCUUGGCAGCUUCAUGGCCUUGCAGUGAGAGCCCAGGGACCAGAAGACUUUUGGCUAGAGCUAAAGGGAUGCAGAGACCUACUGAACCUAAUGUAUGAUGUACAUUCUGUGCACAAUUUCAGCAAGCUCAAAUUAUGUCUUCCUAAUUCCAACUCUCCCAAUUUAGACGAGAGACACUUAUCCUGGCCUUUCCCCUAAGCCACAAGGAAUAGCAAAGGGACACUUCCUGCCUUAGUGUCUUCCUUUCCACCCCAAACCCUAGGCCUAGUACCCAUCCUUGUUUCCCUGCUUGGGGUUGGCAAGUUACUCAAGAUGAAAUGACUCCAGACCCCUGCCCCAAGACCAUUACGUGCCAACCUUGGGCUUCCAGAGUGAGGCUGUCCUAACCCAAAUGGCCCUCCAGUUUCAUGGACUCUGUGGAGUCUCCCCCAGAGCAGAAGUCCUGUAUGAGGCUGGAGAUCAGGGGCCCAUUACUUUCUUCUCCUCUUAGAGUAUCUGCUGAUGAGGCCCAGUGCUUCUCUCCUGAACCCUCCCCUCCCAAGGCAUCCCCACCAGCUUUGCCCUCUAGGGAAAGGGGAAGGUACAGACUGUGCUCCUGGGGGUAAAGGAAGAGUGUUUACAAAAGCUUCUCUCUUUACGUUACUCCCAAGCUCAAAGAGCUACAGCCCCAUGGAGGCUGGGAUUGAUUCCUGCAGCCCCAACUGCUGUAUUGUCCCUGCCACUUCCUAUGGAGGAUGUAUUUCUGACUCUCUACUAUCUCCAUCCUUGAAGUGCAUGUGUCAUAGUAGCUGAAGUACCUUCCUCUACUCUGGGUGUGUAUAUGGGACAAAGGCAGGAAGGAGCCUGGGCCAUUCUUCUCCAGCAAGUGGCUCCUGUUCUAAGAGAUGGGCUAUUCUACCUCUAUAUAAAUUAGGAUUUAGACCAUAAUUACUGGACUAGGGAGUCUGGGAUGCCAGCUGAGCCUCCUGAGUGAGCCAUAAUUCCCAUCCAAGGAUACAGGAGGGGCUAAAAAUCUAGGAGGGAAAUUGAGGAAUGAAUGAACCUUCGGUUACUUUAGGGCUCAACAACUAACAUACAGACACACAGGCAGGAAAGGGGAAUGAUGUAUCUCUGCUCUAAACCCAAGGUCCAAUUAAAGUUUACUCAAGCUCA